GCCUGGGUGGCUCAGUCGGUUAAGUGUCCGACUUCAGCUCGGAUCAUGAUUUCACAGUUUGUGAGUUCAAGCCCCGCAUCGGGCU
rnacentral:tRNA from 1 species